rnacentral:rRNA from 1 species
AUGGCGGCCGUGACGCUCGGCACCGAGACCGACGGCUCCAUACUGUGCCCGUCGUCGUUCAACUCAGUCGUCGGCAUCAAGCCGACGUUGGAGUUGACCAGCCGGGCCGGCGUCGUCCCCAUUACACCGUUGAAGGACACCGUCGGACCGAUGUGUCGGACGGUGUUGGACGCGGUGCAUGUGCUGGACGCCAUAGUCGGCUACGACGAGCUCGACGCCGCGGCCACCGGAGCGGCGUCCAAGUACAUCCCGCACGGAGGUUACGUGCAGUUCCUGAAGAAAGAUGGACUGAGGGGGAAGAGGAUCGGCGUCCCCAAUGGUUUCUUCCAAGGAUAUGGAAAGACGCAGCUGAAUGUGUACAAGAAACACCUAGCCACAAUGAGGAAACUUGGAGCAGUGGUGGUAGACGUCGCUGCCAAUUUGACCGCUCUAUUGGUUGAGAUUGGUUCCAAUGAGGGGAUUGCGAUGAAGGCAGAAUUUAAGGUGAGCAUAAACGUGUACUUGUCAGACUUGGUCCAUUCCCCGGUCCAUUCGCUAGCAGACAUCAUAGCAUUCAACAAGGCACAUCCUGUGGAGGAGAGGCUGAAAGAUUUCGGCCAGCCUGACCUCAUCGCUGCCCAAAGCACAAAUGGCAUUGGCCCCGUGGAGAGAGCCGCGAUCCGGCGGCUGAAGGAACUGAACACGGAAGUGCUGGAGAAUCCGAUGAAGGAACACCAACUGGACACCAUCGUGGCUCCUAACAGCGAUAUUUCUAGCCUUCUCGCCAUCGGUGGCCACCCUGGCAUCGUUGUGCCGCGGGGUACGACGACAAGGGUUUCCCCUUUGGCAUAUGCUUCGGCGGGCUGA